UACGUAGGGGGCAAGCGUUGUCCGGAUUUAUUGGGCGUAAAGAGCGUGUAGGCGGCUUGGCAAGUCCGCUGUGAAAACUCGAGGCUCAACCCCGAGACGUCGGUGGAAACUGCCUGGCUAGAGUCCGGAAGAGGAGAGUGGAAUUCCUGGUGUAGCGGUGAAAUGCGCAGAUAUCAGGAAGAACACCCGUGGCUAAGGCGGCUCUCUAGUACGGUACUGACGCUGAGACGCGAAAGCGUGGGGAGCGAACAGG
rnacentral:rRNA from 1 species